rnacentral:tRNA from 1 species
GGUCCUGUGGUGUAGUGGUUAUCACGUCUGCUUCACACGCAGAAGGUUGCCGGUUCGACCCCGGGCGAGAUCU